UACGUAGGGGGCUAGCGUUGUCCGGAAUCAUUGGGCGUAAAGAGCGUGUAGGCGGCCCGGUAAGUCCGCUGUGAAAGUCGGGGGCUCAACCCUCGAAUGCCGGUGGAUACUGUCGGGCUAGAGUGCGGAAGAGGCGAGUGGAAUUCCCGGUGUAGCGGUGAAAUGCGCAGAUAUCGGGAGGAACACCAGUAGCGAAGGCGGCUCGCUGGGCCAUUCCUGACGCUGAGACGCGAAAGCUAGGGGAGCGAACAGG
rnacentral:rRNA from 1 species